UUUUUUUUUUUUUUUUUUUAGGGCCGCACCUAGGGCACAUGAAGAUUUCCAGGCUAGUGAACUGUAGCCUCUGGCCUAUGCCACAGCCAAGGCAACACCAGAUCCCAGCCAUGUCUGUGACCUACACCACAGCAAACACGAGAUCCUUAACCCGAGUGAGGCCAGGGACUGAACCUGCGUCCUCAUGGUUACUAGUCAGAUUUGUUUCCUCUGAGCCACAACAGGAACUCUGGGUUGUACUUUUUUUUAAGUCAGCAGUAAUUAACUUGAAUUAGGAGAUAAUAGAUUGGGAUGUUACUGGAGGGAAUAAUAAAUGGAGAGAAAUUCAUUAGCAUCUAACCAAAUCAUAAGGAAGUAUUAUCAUUUGGGCCAGGCAGCCAAGCUAGGAUCAAAAAAAAAAUAUUUCUUUUGCAAACACUGUAAACAGUGAGGUAAUUCUUAGCCAGAGAUCUGACCUGAGAAGACUCAGCAAAAAACACCUGUUAGCAAGAUCAAUCAUGCCCUGAAAUGGAAAAGAUUUUCUAUGUAUUGAUCAUUAAUUAUAAUCCAGUGCCAAGUCAUGGAUUUCAAGGAAUGCAAAAGCAUCGCUGACCUUUCCUGACCUGGCUUUCUUGUUCUAUGUGCCCAACUAUCCUUUACAUCACUCCUGGUUAAUUCAAGGCACUUUCAAUGAGGAUGAUGUCUAAACAUCCUCAGGCCAAGCAGAGGGAGAGAAGACACUAGAGGUUUGAAAGGACAAACUGAUCAGAUGUCAGAGCCAGAAGCAGGUUUAAAGAGGAAUCCUGACCCAUCCCUUCACACCAGUGGGAGGGAGGGGAGUAGCUGUUUGACCCCCUGCUGUCUCAGCAGAGGUCAAAUGUCACCAUUUUCCACUUAGGGAUGUCAAAGAGAUGAACACUCAAGGGUGAAGAAUUACCCUCCGGAUUAAACUAAAAGCCUAGGCUGUGAAACUAAGAAUUUCCGAGGUUUAUAGUGGGAAACAGGGAGUGGUUGGGGGAGGUAAAGGCAGUGGAAUGGGAGUAAAUUGAGUGAAACAAUACAGUAUGGAUCCUGGGAAUUUCCAAAUAAUCUUAGAAUUGCUGCAGGCAAGCAGUGUUCUGGUGUGAUCUGACCUCUCUGGGGUCUGGAUAUCAGGAAGUAGUGCUGGCAGGUACCAAUUUUCAGCUCUAGACAGCGUGGCCCUUUCUCCAGAGGCCCUGGGAAGCUGAGAAAGAGGGUCCCAGGUGGUCUAGUGGCUCAGAUAUCUUAAAGUGGGCUCUUAGAGAUCCUCUAGGCCUAAUGUAUUUUUAACAGAUAAGAAAACCAAAUCCCAAGAGGCGGAAGCAAGUUGCCUGUUAAAGUAUAAUUUUCAAAAAGGGAAAAUCAUGUCUCUCAUACAGAUGUUAAAUGAAUGGUUUCAAAGAUUUUAUUGAGCUCAUUAAUUAAUAAAGAAAUCAGUAAGAUUUAAAACAGGCCCAAAGAACAUUUGAGAAGCUAGGUAUGUAUAGGCACUUUAAUGGCCUGCUGAGCUAUAAGCUAUCCAAAAACUGGUUUAUGUUUAACAGGAUCAUAAACUGUAAACUUUCAAGCUAUUAUUUCCAUGGAAGGAAUUAUUUGUGUCUUUACUGAACAAAAUUUUCCAUAUUAGCCUUUGCCUCAUAGCAAAGUAAAAUCAACCAGUAAAUAGAAAGUCAGGUCUGCAUGGAAAAAACAGCCAUUUCUUUCUUUUGCCCAUUUCCAAGAGUCAGAUACAUUUAAAAAAUUUGUCCAAGAUAACACUGGUAAUUGCUAGCAGAUGUAUGUUUGAAGUCUCAUUAUGCCCAACCAAAUGUUGUCAUCCUUGUCCCACAAUCCAGAAAGACUGAGAUGUACAAGAGCAAAAUUGUGAAUGGAAGAAAGGGUUGAUUAAGGAAGCAGAGUUUUCCCAACUCUGGUCUGCCCAGCCCAUCAGAUCUUAGACAGUAGUGAGCAAUGUCUUGAAAUGAGAUCUUAAUUCCCUGCUCAAGAACUGAACCUGGGCAGCCUUGGUGAAAACCAGAAGUCCUAGACACUAGAUCAGCUAGAGACUAGAGGCUAAAAGCAGAGUUGCCCUUAUUCUUGCCCCCACUGAAAGCAAAAAUGUUUCAAGGAGGCAACACCUAUAAAAACAGGCGCAAAAUUUCUUAUUAGAAGCACAGCACGAAAUGUGGGAGAACACACAGUGAAGUAGUUUGUUUAUUUAUUUGAGAUAGAGGCAAGACAGUAACAUACAUCCAAAAGAAGAGUACGAGCAAGGACAUCCUCCUGAACGAGAAAUGUACCAGAGAGAAAGUUUAAAUCACUUUUAUGGGGCUGUUUUCCCAGGACUUUGUUUUCCUUUAGCCAACUAUAUCUGCUUUUUCCUUACACCCGAUUGGACCCAGGGCCCUCCCCAAUGUGCAUGCACAACUUUCAGCCAAGAUGGAAUUCCAGCACAAGGGCCUAUGGGAAUAUUGACAACAUCUGUUAUAGAAUUGUGCCCCCCACCCUUUUUGACCUUGAGGAGUUUUUCUGCACAUGGGCAGUUGGGGAGGUCUCCUUGAUCUUAUGAGUGAUUGAGGUAGUCAUACUAUCUUUUUACUCCAGCAGAGCUCAGCUCCUACCACUAACUUUCUCCUCAAAGUGUCGAAGAGGAAGAAGGCUCCAUUCAGUCAGCCUGACAAUCCCAGCUGGUCUCAGCCCAGGGGGCCCAGCUACCUCCUUCCUCAUAUCCACUACCUUAAAGUGCAGCUUGUGAAAUGCUGACCUGUGAGGACACCUUGACUGGUUCCUUGUUCCCAUAUUUCCCAAACCCAAGGUAUAAUCUCAACACUCUCUUUCCAUCCAGUGCCCUGCAGGGUUCCUUAAUCACUCUCUCCCACCCACGCACACACACUCAAUUGGGCUCCUCUUCUGCGUAUUCUCUAUGGAAGCCUUCCUUACAUGUGGUUUAGUAAGGAUCAAUGACAUCUUUGUGGAUAUGUGAACUAAAGGGAUUUUUUAGACUGAAUGUGCUUGGUUGGCAUAGAUAUCUGUUGAAUUCUUUCCAUGUCUUAAAUUCAAGGAUUCUAUAAUAGUUUAUUUCCCAAGAUGAGGGUGAGAACUUGACUAUAGAACCGAGAAAGCCUCAGGUGGAUUUGCAAAGCUGGCAUUGAUUUUUUUUGGCUUUAGAAAAACUCUAAUUUCUUGGCUCUUCAUUAGAGCAAAUACUAAUGUCCUUCUUUCUGGGAGGAUAAGUGAGUUACUAUUUGCCAAGAUAUUUGGGAGGCUGAGACAAGUAACACUGAGCUGAAUACCAACAAUGACAGAAUGACAACAAUGCAGAUGCCUUAUUUGCACAAACACCCAUCCUUUUGUUCUUGCCACAUCUUUGUGGGUUGCAGAGCUUGGAAUAAUUUCAUUGCCAGAGUUUGUCAGACUUGCCAGUAUCACUCUAAGACUGCCUUUUUCAAAAUCACUUUGUUUGGCUGAAAUGGAGUUCAGGUAGAAAAGGAAUUGGGGUAGUGCAGGGGCAGCUAUUAACCAUUCAAAAAAUGAAUCAUCUACCUCCAGGACCUGACUUUGAAACUUGCUUUUGCAUUCUUUUUAUCCUCUACAUAAAAAGAAAAAGAGAAAAUUUCUAAGAAGGAUGAUUUUUUUAUGGCUAGUGUUAAAGAGAGAAAGAGAGACCAUGAGCCUAGAAUGGAGUCAUCUGUGCUAAGCUCUACAUCAUGAAACCAAGACUUAAUGCCUAACUUAAUUUCCCUUUCAGCCUCUCCCACAAAUGGAAUCUUAAACAGGUCAGUAUGGAAUCACCUUAUCAGCACUAGUGAAGUAAUCCCCCUGAGAGACCCUGCCCUGCUUUCCCCUAAAGGAAGGGGACUUUGCCACAACCACUCUAUUCUCUGCUAGUCUAACUUCCAUGUCAUGCUCCCUUCUGUCUUUGAAAGCCUUUGAUUUUGUACGGGUCUUCAGAGUUCCUUUCUAAUUGCCAGAUGGAAUCAGUGCAAUGUAUGAAUCACUAAAUAAAGCCAAUAAGAUCUUUAA
rnacentral:lncRNA from 1 species